rnacentral:rRNA from 1 species
UACGUAGGGGGCAAGCGUUGUCCGGAUUUAUUGGGCGUAAAGAGCGUGUAGGCGGCCAGACAGGUCUGCUGUGAAAACUCGAGGCUCAACCUCGAGACGCCGGUGGAAACCGUCUGGCUAGAGUCCGGAAGAGGAGAGUGGAAUUCCUGGUGUAGCGGUGAAAUGCGCAGAUAUCAGGAGGAACGCCAGUGGCGAAGGCGGCUUCCUGGCCUGUAACUGACGCUGAGACGCGAAAGCGUGGGGAGCGAACCGG